rnacentral:tRNA from 1 species
AGCAAGGUAGAGCAGUUGGCAGCUCGUCGGGCUCAUAACCCGGAGGUCGCAGGUUCGAGUCCUGUCCUUGCCA